AUGCUAAAUCUCACUCUGCUUCGGCAUCAUCUAGAAGAAUUUAACAAUGGACAUAUUUCUGGAAAUGAAUGUCGUUCAUUAGCAUCUGAAGUAACAGGUUGUACAUUUCCUGCAUUAACCUCUUGCGAAAGUAGGCAAAACUUUAAAAGUAAAAAUACUGGGCAGAAUGAACGAAUGCCAAAAAGAAACUAUUUAUUGACUAUAUAGCUUAUUGUCGCUGUUUGGGAUAUGGCAGCAAUCAAGAAUGACAAAGGUUUCUGCUUUCAUUGAUCUUGUAAUUAUAAUGGGAAAAUAACAAAUAAAUGUAAUUAUCGAGUAAACA
rnacentral:lncRNA from 13 species